GUAGGGAAUAUUAGAAAUGGACGAAAGUCUGAUCUAGCAACACCGCGUGUGCGAAGAAGGCCUUCGGGUUGUAAAGCACUUUUUGGAAGGAUUAGGAAGGAAUGUACUUCCAGAAUAAGUCUCGGCUAACUACGUGCCAGCAGCCGCGGUAACACGUAGGAGGCAAACGUUAUCCGGAUUUACUGGGCGUAAGGCGCGUGUAGGUGGUUCUGUAAGUAGGGCGUGAAAGCUCCUGGCUCAACUGGGAGAGGCCGUUCUAAACUGCAGAGCUAGAAGAUGGGAGAGGGAGGUUGAAAUCCGGGUGGAGCGGUGGAAAGCGCAAAUAUCCGGAGGAACACCAGUGGCGAAAGCGGCCUCC
rnacentral:rRNA from 1 species